rnacentral:rRNA from 1 species
CCUAGGGAAUGCGCGGCUACACAUGCAAGUCGAGGGGUAGAAAGAGCUUGCUUUUUUGAGACCGGCGCACGGGUGAGUAACGCGUAUGCAACCUACCUUAUACAGGGGAAUAGCCCGAAGAAAUUCGGAUUAAUGCUCCAUGGUUUAUCGAUAUGGCAUCGUAUUGAUAAUAAAGAUUUAUCGGUAUAAGAUGGGCAUGCGUAUCAUUAGCUAGUUGGUGUGGUAACGGCAUACCAAGGCAACGAUGAUUAGGGGUCCUGAGAGGGAGAUCCCCCACACUGGUACUGAGACACGGACCAGACUCCUACGGGAGGCAGCAGUGAGGAAUAUUGGUCAAUGGAGGCAACUCUGAACCAGCCAUGCCGCGUGCAGGAUGACGGUCCUAUGGAUUGUAAACUGCUUUUGUACAGGAAGAAACCUCCCUACGAGUAGGGACUUGACGGUACUGUAAGAAUAAGGAUCGGCUAACUCCGUGCCAGCAGCCGCGGUAAUACGGAGGAUCCGAGCGUUAUCCGGAAUUAUUGGGUUUAAAGGGUUCGUAGGCGGUUUUAUAAGUCAGUGGUGAAAUUUCUUAGCUUAACUAAGACACUGCCAUUGAUACUGUUUAACUUGAAUAGUAUGGAAGUAACUAGAAUAUGUAGUGUAGCGGUGAAAUGCUUAGAUAUUACAUGGAAUACCAAUUGCGAAGGCAGGUUACUACGUACUUAUUGACGCUGAUGAACGAAAGCGUGGGGAGCGAACAGGAUUAGAUACCCUGGUAGUCCACGCCGUAAACGAUGGAUACUAGCUGUUCGGUUUUCGGACUGAGUGGCUAAGCGAAAGUGAUAAGUAUCCCACCUGGGGAGUACGUUCGCAAGAAUGAAACUCAAAGGAAUUGACGGGGGCCCGCACAAGCGGUGGAGCAUGUGGGUUUAAUUCGAUGAUACGCGAGGAACCUUACCAGGGCUUAAAUGUAGAUUGACAGAUUUGGGAAACAGAUUUUUUCUUCGGACAUUUACAGGUGCUGCAUGGGUUGUCGUCAGCUCGUGCCGUGAGGUGUCA